UCCAGUAUUUUUGAGUGGCAUCCAGUAUUCUAAGUGGUGUUUAGCACUCAGUGUGGCUGCCAGCUAUAAAAGCUAGCCAGCGAAUAAAGCUUAAAGUAUUUUUUAAAAAUUCCGGGUGGAAAACCCAGCCAGUGCUGCCACAAGUUGCCGCCAAAGGCGCAUCUUAUUGAUUCGGCCAAUUUACUGGAGGAUUUACCACCUCAAGAAGGCCAAAAUCAAAUCUCGGGGCCCAAUCGUCAGGUUGGCCCGCGAGGAAUGAUUUGGAGAGAUUAGUGCCCUGAAGUACCCCUAUCUACUAUCUACCUAUCUACGGGCUAUGUAGUGCCUUUCAAGAAGUGCAGUUUUACUUAGAGCGGAUCCGAUGGCAGUUUAAUUCAAUUACAUAACCUGUCCCGAUGCCCAUCAUGCCACGCAUCCGUACACCAGCCGAGUUUUAAGGGGUGCGCGUAGCCGUCUGGGAGGCUUCCGAGUGAAAUAUCGCUGCCGCAGAUUUAGGGAUUUAUACCCGAUUAUGUUGUAA